GCCAACGGUCAGAACACAACGGAAGGACCCUCCCAUUCUGGCCGUAUUGUCAAUGGCAUCCCAGUGAAUAUUUCAAAUUAUAAGUAUGCACUGAGCAUGCGAUUUGACGGUGAAUUCAUCUGUGGAGCUUCCAUCAUCACUUAUUCACAUGCCUUGACUGCUGCUCAUUGUGUGUAUAAUUAUCAGUUCAUGUCAUCACGCCUAACUUUGUAUGGAGGAAGCACAUCUGCUUCUUCUGGUGGAGUUGAAUUUCCUGUUGUCCGCCUAGUAUAUCAUCCUUCUUACAAUUCUUAUAAAUCGAAUCUAUCGGAUUACGAUGUAGCUAUCCUAACUGUCCCUGCAAAUUCCUUCAGUGGAAAGCCAAAUAUGGCCCCAUUAGCGCUGCAAACUAAAGAACUGCCGGCCGAUACAAGGUGCUUCGUGGUUGGAUGGGGGAAGAGAGCGGAUGGGGAAAAUGAACAACCGUCUGUAAAUCAAUUGCUCUACGCCAACAUGAACAUUGUGUCACAGAGCGAUUGUGCUACAAUGUGGGCUAAUUCCGAGCAUCGUUGUCCAGCAUGCAAGCAAUCUAUUACCUCCAACAUGGUUUGUGCCCAGUACGGUAACAGUAUGGACACGUGCAGGGGUGACAGCGGUGGCGCAUUGGUGUGUGGAGGUAGAUUGACCGGAGUUGUGUCGUUUGCUCUUUAUUGUUCAGGUAUAUGGCCAUCAGUAUUUGCUAAGGUAACUGCACCUACCAUUCGAAACUUUAUUCGCUAUUUCGCUGGAAUUUAGAUACUGGAUAUGUUGCAAAGCAGUAAUAAACAGAUGUGUAAUCAUAUUGUUGCGUAAAAUUUCUCAACGUUUAUUUGGGGAAGAAAAUUGGCAAUGUAGUGCAUAUCACAACCAUACAAACAGUAAUUUUUUGAAAUAAAUGGAUCAUACAAUAGUAUUUAUGUGAUUUGUUAUGAAAAUAAUUGUUGUAUCUACACUGAAAACUUUAUUUUUGUGAUUCACAGUAAAAUUUUAUCGAAUUUGUUGAGCUGAAGAUUCAGUAAUCCUUUCAGUUAAACAUGCCCAGACUCAUUCAGACAUUCAGACUUAACAACAUGCCCAUCAUGGGUUCAAGCCCUGAAAAGACCGUGCCCCCAUACGUAGGACUGACUAUCCUGCUAUGGUAACAAUAAGUCACUGAAAGCCAAGCUCACUUCACUAGUGGGUACAGGCAGGCCUUGACCGACAGCGGUUGUUGUGCCAAAGAAGAAGAAGAAGUCUGUAAGCGCCUACCAAAUCAGCUUUUUGCACAUCACAAGCAGCAGGACACCUCGUUGUUUUGUUUUGAUAUUCUGACGGACAGGUCGAUUUGACAGAAUGAUUUGCUGCAUUUUCAGUCAUUUGUUUUAUUGAUCCAGUAAAACGACUAAUAUGACACCGAUUAUUUUGGAAGCCAAGUGUGCAACGGUUAUUUUGAUGUGAUAUUCUAUUAGUGUUGGAGCAACUGCUGGAGUCGAACAGUUCGAAGCGGAGCGGAACAAAUCCGUUUAUUUUUUGAACGUGUUUCCGCUGACAUCACUAGCGGUUGAGAUUUAAUAAAUAGAUGACGAAAAGUCGUCCUCUUCUUCUCUGGCAAAUCGUCGUUACUAGAUUGGUAAUUAUUGGUAGCUUAGAAAACAGAAAGAAACGCGCAAGACUUUAUCCGAAAUUCUCCUUCGAGUAAACAUUGGUGCCGUGACCAGGAUAGUGUCGAAAUACUGAUUAGUCGAGAGUUUUUCGAUAAAGUAAAUAUUAUCUGCGCGCGCUUACGCUAACAAGAUUUGAUCCGCUAACAAGAUUUGAUAAUGCAAACAAGAUUUUGAUCCGCGACUCAUAAAACUGCAAGCUGCUUUGAAGGCAAAAUAUAGGCAAAUUCCUCGUAGCGAAGGGUCGCAGCAUAGGGCCGGCAUUAACUCGCUGCAAGGCUAAAGCUGCCCACCAUAGCAUUGCCCGAGUUCGAUGGCGACUAUAUGCAAUGGCUAACUUUCCACGACACCUUUGAGUGUCUUAUUCACGAAAAUGAUGAGCUUCCCGGCAUACAGAAGUUUCACUACUUUCGCGCAGCCGUAAAAGGCGAAGCCGCACAAAUAAUUGAGUCGAUAACGAUAAGCUCAAAUAACUAUACUUCUUCUUCUUCUUCUUUUUGGCCCAACAACCGCUGUCGGUCGAUGCCUGCCUGUACCCACUAGUGAAGUGAGCUUGGCUGUCAGUAACUUAUUGUUACCAUAGCAGGAUAGUCAGUCCUACGUAUGAAAUAACUAUACACUGGCUUGAAAAAUGCUCACGGAAAGAUACUCAAACGAAUACCUGCUUAAGAAACGUCACUUGCAGGCUAUGUUUCGCAUCACACCGGCUAGGAAAGAAAGCUCAGCGGCAUGGCAUCAGCUGGUCGAUGAAUUCGAGCGUCAUAAAAAAAACGUUGAGCCAUUUAGGAGAAAGACAGAUGAAUGGAGCAACAUUUUGGAACAUUUGUUGUGUUGGAACAAAACUGCCAACAACAACACUACGCGAUUGGGAAGAGCAUGCGCCAAAUAAUGAAAAUCCCAGCUAUGAAUCACUUAUUACAUUUUUACAGUGCCGUAUGAGAGUUCUAGAAACGUUGUUAGUAAACAAAUCUGAGACAUUAAAUGAUGAAACACAAUCCUAUGCAAGACGAAAUAAUUUUACACGCACUUCCAGCUUUGCCACAACUGAUCGCGAGAACAACAGAUACCACUUAUGUAGCGGAAUUUGGGGCAAGUGUGCCAUACGGGGCAAUAGUGCCACCAAGCAUUUUUCCUUAAAAACUUUAGUUUUAUGAUCAAUUGUGUAUACAGUUGGUUCCUUUCCAAUGACUAGGUAUACUGAGCCGAAUUUCUUAUAAACCAAUCGAUAUUCCCCAUUGUUUUGAACUGAUUUAUAUUGAGUUUCAAAAUUGAUCAGAAUAUUAUAAUUUUUGAAUCCAAUCAGAUAAGCUCUCAAAAAUCAAGCAAACAAUCAACCGAGAAAAUAUUUACACCACCGUAUAGCUGAGAAAACGUGAAAUUUUUUGUGGGGUUAGUUGAAAAAAACUUUCUUUUUGUCACUGAAAAAUUCAAUUUCAAAAAAGUUACAACUUUUGGGGCAAGUGUGCCAUCUCUGUUUGGUGCAAGUGUGCCACCAUCUUUCAUAGGCGCGAGCUGUCAAAAAUGUAAACAUUGUUGUAGCGAGCUGCGGAAUGGUGCGCUAUUGUGAGCGGAUUCCACGCCAGAAAAACAGAACAGUAACAAACCAUAUUGUGGUACAGUUGGUGGUCAAAAAGGGUUCAUUGGUGACUAAAUACAUGUAGGAAUACAUACACUAGUGGUACAAACGUAAUUAUUUCCUAUUAUCUAAGAAAUAUGAUUAUUUUAACCAGGUGGCCGUCUUGCCCCAUACGAGUGGCACUCUUGCCCCAUAGCCCAAAAAACAACGUCUUUUUGGACCCUUUUUAAAACGCUUCAAAAACUGUUUUAUUUGCACUUUUUUCAAGCGAAACUCAUUUAUAAGUGAGGAAAUAGAUGUAAAAUGGUUAUGAGAUUGAAAUCGGCUUUUGAAAAACACGUUUUAGUGAGUUAUAACUUGAAAUGCUUAAGGUGGCACACUUGCCCCAAGUUCCGCUAAUAUGCCGCACACUAUCAUAAAAUGCCAGCGGUUCCUUGCCAUGAAUCCUGCGCAACGUUACCGAACAGCGCUUGAUGCGCGGUUAUGUCUAAAUCGCCUGCGGGACAAUCAUAGAGCUCGAGAUUGUUCCUCGCAGUAUAAAUGUCGCCACUGUAAUUUAGCACACCACACAAUGUUACACUCACAAGGCACUCCCGGCACAUCCACUACUACACCAGUACAGCUAGCUGCGCGGGAUGAACCGGUACACCAAACACACAACACUAACGAUCCAACGGCUUACACACAACGUAGUUUUGUAGCUGCAGUUAGACAAGCACCUUCGCAGGUAUUGCUCCAGACUGCACUAUUGAAUGUUGUUGAUGCACAUGGCAUUGUGCAUCCUGUUCGUGCACUUUUGGACAGUGCUUCGCAGCCUAAUUUAAUGAUCAGCAGGCUCGCUCAGAGGUUAGCAUUGUGAAAUGACACUGUAAAUAUAACCCUCAAGGGGGCAGGUAUCUCCACCAGAACGGUGAAAAAAUCGGUGCGAGCUACGAUCGCCUCGAGAACCGAAGAUUUCAAGUUGGGUGUUGAAUUUUUGAUUGUUGACAAGGUGAUAGCUGAUUUGCCAGCGCAUGAUAUUUGUACUCGCAGCUGAAACAUACCGACUGAAAUCGUUUUAGCGGAUCCACAAUUUUACAAAUCAUCCCAAGCUGGAAAAUCAAUCGACAUCAUUCUUGGCGCUCGUCAUUACGCUUCAUUCUUUGUGAACGUAAAUCAGCACAAACUUGCUCCGAACCUUCUGACAAUGUUGAAUAUUUGGUAUUUGGUUGGGUUAGGAUUGGGCCCACCACUCCUCAAGAUCCUGCACCGCCGAGCGAUUGCACCACUACAUCCACAAUCAUCUGCAAGGCCUCUCUAGGGGAUUCUACGGAACGCUUUUGGAAGCUAGAGGAGCUAAGUAUGAAAUAAGCGUACUCUCCCGAUGAGUGGCGAUGCGAAUCCUUUUAUAAAGAAAUCACUCAAAGAGACGAUUCGGGUCGGUACAUUGUGCGUCU